rnacentral:rRNA from 1 species
ACUACAUGAAGCCGGAAUCGCUAGUAAUCGCGGAUCAGAAUGCCGCGGUGAAUACGUUCCCGGGUCUUGUACACACCGCCCGUCACACCAUGGGAGCCGGAAAUGCCCGAAGUCAGUGACCCAACCGCGAGGAGGGAGCUGCCGAAGGCAGGUCUGGUAACUGGGGUGAAGUCGUAACAAGGUAAC